UUUCUUCAGGUUCAAGGUACAGAAGAAGACUCACACUACCACCAGGGUCAUAAAAGUACCCCUGGAAAUGCCCACAACUCCUACGAAAGCCUUGUCAAAUAGGUGUUUCUAGGUUCAGGGUACAGAAGAAGGGUCACACUACCACCAGGGUCAUAAAAGUACCCCUGGAAAUGCCCACAACUCCUACGAAAGCCUUGUCAAAUAGGUGUUUCUAGGUUCAGGGUACAGAGGAAGGGUCACACUACCACCAGGGUCAUAAAACUACCCCUGGAAAUGCCCACAACUCCUACGAAAGCCUUGUCAAAUAGGUGUUUCUAGGUUCAUGGUACAGAAGAAGGGUCACACUACCACCAGGGUCAUAAAAGUACCCCUGGAAAUGCCCACAACUCCUACGAAAGCCUUGUCAAAUAGGUGUUUCUAGGUUCAUGGUACAGAAGAAGGGUCACACUACCACCAGGGUCAUAAAAGUACCCCUGGAAAUGCCCACAACUCCUACGAAAGCCUUGUCAAAUAUGUGUUCUUGGGCGGCGAAA